GCACAGUGGAUGUUUAGAGAUUAUCUUUGUCCCCUCUCUCUGUUUAGAUCCGGAGGCGCCGGCCAACUCCAGCUACCCUGGUUCUGAGCAGCGACCAGUCGUCCCCAGAAAUCGACGAGGACCGGCUCCCCAACCCAUUGCUGAAGCCGGGUCUGUCCAUGUCACCCAGACAAAGGAAGAAGGUCCCCCGCACGACCCCCGCCAUGAAAG